rnacentral:rRNA from 1 species
CGUAGCGAUAAUAACACGAUGAAAGCACCGGUUCCCGUCCGAACAUUGCAGUUAAGCAACGCUGGGCCCGGUCAUUACUUGCAUGGGUGACCGGCUGGGAAUGCCAGGUGUCGCUGGCU